rnacentral:rRNA from 1 species
AGAACGAACGCUGGCGGCAUGCCUAAUACAUGCAAGUCGAACGAACUCUUCGGAGUUAGUGGCGCACGGGUGCGUAACGCGUGGGAAUCUGCCCCUUGGUUCGGAAUAACAGUUGGAAACGACUGCUAAUACCGGAUGAUGACGAAAGUCCAAAGAUUUAUCGCCAAGGGAUGAGCCCGCGUAGGAUUAGCUAGUUGGUGAGGUAAAGGCUCACCAAGGCGACGAUCCUUAGCUGGUCUGAGAGGAUGAUCGGCCACACUGGGACUGAGACACGGCCCAGACUCCUACGGGAGGCAGCAGUAGGGAAUAUUGGACAAGUGGGACGAAAGCCUGAUCCAGCAAUGCCGCGUGAGUGAUGAAG